UACAGAGGGUGCGAGCGUUAAUCGGAAUUACUGGGCGUAAAGCGCGCGUAGGCGGCUUUUCAAGUCGAUUGUGAAAGCCCUGGGCUUAACCUGGGAAUUGCAGUCGAUACUACUCAGCUAGAGUAUGGGAGAGGGCAGUGGAAUUCCCGGUGUAGCGGUGAAAUGCGUAGAUAUCGGGAGGAACAUCAGUGGCGAAGGCGGCUGCCUGGCCCAAUACUGACACUCAGGUGCGACAGCGUGGGGAGCAAACAGG
rnacentral:rRNA from 1 species